GACGUAGGGCGCGAGCGUUGUCCGGAUUUAUUGGGCGUAAAGAGCUCGUAGGCGGCUUGUCGCGUCGACUGUGAAAUCCCGCGGCUCAACUGCGGGUCUGCAGUCGAUACGGGCAGGCUAGAGUUCGGUAGGGGAGACUGGAAUUCCUGGUGUAGCGGUGAAAUGCGUAGAUAUCUGGAGGAACACCGGUGGCGAAGGCGGCAUCCUGGACCAACACUGACGCUGAGGAGCGAAAGCCAGGGGAGCAAACGGG
rnacentral:rRNA from 1 species